GACGAACCGUGCGAACGUUAUUCGGAAUCAUUGGGCUUAAAGCGCGUGUAGGCGGAUGGGAACGUCGGUCGUUGAAAGCCCCCGGCUCAACCGGGGAAUUGGCACCGAAACGACCCGUCUGGAGGGGCAUAGGGGGAUCUGGAACUUCCGGUGGAGCGGUGAAAUGCGUUGAGAUCGGAAGGAACGCCCGUGGCGAAAGCGAGAUCCUGGAUGUCUUCUGACGCUGAGACGCGAAAGCUAGGGUAGCGAACGGGAUUAGAUACCCCGGUAGUCCUAGCCGUAAACGAUGAGCACUGGGUAGGGGGCUCUCCGAUGGGCUCCCUGCCGUAGGGAAACCGUGAAGUGCUCCGCCUGGGGAGUAUGGUCGCAAGGCUGAA
rnacentral:rRNA from 1 species